UACGUAGGGGGCGAGCGUUGUCCGGAUUCACUGGGCGUAAAGGGUGCGUAGGCGGUCGGGUAAGUCUGAUGUGAAAUCUCACAGCUUAACUGUGAAACUGCAUUGGAUACUAUCCGGCUCGAGGAAUGGAGGGGAGACUGGAAUACUUGGUGUAGCAGUGAAAUGCGUAGAUAUCAAGUGGAACACCAGUGGCGAAGGCGAGUCUCUGGACAUUUCCUGACGCUGAGGCACGAAAGCCAGGGGAGCAAACAGG
rnacentral:rRNA from 1 species